UACGUAGGGGGCGAGCGUUGUCCGGAUUUAUUGGGCGUAAAGAGCUCGUAGGCGGUUUGGUAAGUUGGAUGUGAAAUCUCCAGGCUCAACGUUGGAGGGGUCAUUCGAUACUGCCAUGACGUAGAGUUCGGUAGGGGAGUGUGGGAAUUCCUGUGGAGCGGUGAGAUGCGUAGAGAUGUGGAGGAACACCAGUGGCGAAGGCGACUCUCUGGUCUGUAACUGACGCUGAGGAGCGAAAGCAUGGGGAGCGAACAGG
rnacentral:rRNA from 1 species